GGGGGUGACUGGCAUCGACGGGUUGUGUGGAAGUGCGUGUGCAUGUGGCGCGUUGUAGGUGUUGCGCUUAAAAGCGAACCUUCAAACAACAAUUGGCAAUAACUCUUUUGCUCUCGCAGCUUAAUUAGAUUAAGACUGUAAGACGUCUCUCGGAAUGGAAUGCCUACCGGCUGUUCCUAUGAGGCGCUCGCCCCAGGUAGGAUCGGAACGUGACGCCUUUUAUCGUUCCUAAAAAUUAAAGGCUUCUUCGCUUAGGUAAUCCCUGUCUGUCGGGUGCCUGAGUGAGAACUUAAAGACAAGACUAUGCAUGUAGAGCAUUCAUCUAAACCUUCUCCGGACGCGGGUUCGAAUCCCGCCACCUCCACCA
rnacentral:tmRNA from 1 species